UACAGAGGGUGCGAGCGUUGUUCGGAAUUACUGGGCGUAAAGCGCGCGCAGGCGGCCCUUUAAGUCUACCCGUGAGAUGCCGGAGCUCAACUCCGUGCACGCCGGGGGAUACUGGGGGGCUGGAGACAGGUAGAGGCAAGCGGAAUUCCGGGUGUAGCGGUGGAAUGCGUGAGAUAUCCGGAAGAACACCCUGAGGCGGAAGGCGGCUUGCUGGGUCUGAGUCUGACGCUGAGGCGGCGAAA
rnacentral:rRNA from 1 species